GCGGGUAUGGUGUAGCGGUAGCACAAGAGAUUUCCAAUCUCUUUGCAGGGGUUCGAUCCCCCUUACCCGCU
rnacentral:tRNA from 1 species